UACAGAGGUGGCAAGCGUUGUUCGGAAUUACUGGGCGUAAAGGGCGCGUAGGCGGUUCGAUAAGUCCCGUGUGAAAGCCCCCGGCUCAACUGGGGAACUGCACGGGAAACUGACGGACUUGAGUUCGGGAGAGGAAGCGGAAUUCCGGGUGUAGCGGUGAAAUGCGCAGAUAUCAGGAGGAACACCGGUGGCGAAGGCGCCACUCUGGGCCGAAACUGACGCUGAGGAGCGAAAGCGUGGGUAGCAAACAGG
rnacentral:rRNA from 1 species